rnacentral:rRNA from 1 species
AAAAACAUCGCCUCUUGCUAAACCAAAAGUAUAAGAGGUCCCGCCUGCCCUGUGACUAUAUGUUUAACGGCCGCGGUAUUUUGACCGUGCGAAGGUAGCGCAAUCACUUGUCUUUUAAAUGGGGACCUGUAUGAAUGGCAUAACGAGGGCUUAACUGUCUCCUUUUUCAAGUCAGUGAAAUUGAUCUCCCCGUGCAGAAGCGGGGAUAGACACAUAAGACGAGAAGACCCUGUGGAGCUUCAGACACUAAAGCAGAUCAGUAUUAAUACCCUGAACAUAAGGCACGAAUAAGAUGAUUCCUGCCCUAAUGUCUUCGGUUGGGGCGACCGCGGAGAAAUAUAUAACCCCCGCAAGGACUGAAUGUACUACAUUCACAACCAAGAGUGACAACUCUAAUUAACAGAACUUCUGACCAAUAAGAUCCGGCAAUGCCGAUUAAUGAACCAAGUUACCCCAGGGAUAACAGCGCAAUCUCCUCUUAGAGUCCAUAUCGACGAGGAGGUUUACGACCUCGAUGUUGGAUCAGGACAUCCUAAUGGUGCAACCGCUAUUAAGGGUUCGUUUGUUCAACGAUUAAAGUCCUACGUGAUCUGAG